AACUUUAUAGUAUAAUAAGUAUAAAUGUUUUAAGAUCAUUUGGUUUUUAAGUUA
rnacentral:tRNA from 1 species